UACGGGGGAGCAAGCGUUGUUCGGAUUUACUGGGCGUAAAGGGCGCGUAGGCGGCACCGCAAGUCGACUGUGAAAUCUCCGGGCUUAACUCGGAAAGGUCAGCCGAUACUGCGGGGCUAGAGUGCAGAAGGGGCAACUGGAAUUCUCGGUGUAGCGGUGAAAUGCGUAGAUAUCGAGAGGAACACCUGCGGCGAAGGCGGGUUGCUGGGCUGACACUGACGCUGAUGCGCGAAAGCUAGGGGAGCGAACGGG
rnacentral:rRNA from 1 species